rnacentral:tRNA from 1 species
CAGCCUGUAGCCUAGUGGCUAAGGUACAUGACUGGGACCCCUGAGGUUGGUGGUUCAAGUCCCAGUCCAGCCCCA